rnacentral:rRNA from 1 species
AUUGAACGCUGGCGGCAGGCCUAACACAUGCAAGUCGAACGAGUGGCGGACGGGUGAGUAAUGUCUGGGAAACUGCCCGAUGGAGGGGGAUAACUACUGGAAACGGUAGCUAAUACCGCAUACCAUCGGAUGUGCCCAGAUUGGAUUAGCUAGUUGGUGGGGUAAGGGCUAACCAAGGCGACGAUCCCUAGCUGUUCUGAGAGGAUGACCAGCCACACUGGAACUGAGACACGGUCCAGACUCCUACGGGAGGCAGCAGUGGGGAAUAUUGCACAAUGGGCGCAAGCCUGAUGCAGCCAUGCCGCGGGGAUGAGGAAGGCCUUCGGGUUGUAAAGUACUUUCAGCGGGGAGGCGUUACUCGAAGAAGAAGCACCGGCUAACUCCGUGCCAGCAGCCGCGGUAAUAC